GAUGAACGCUAGCUGGAGGCUUAAUACAUGCAAGUCGAGCGGGAUUGGUAGCAAUACCAUGAGAGCGGCGCACGGGCGAGUAACGCGUACACGACCUACCUCUGACAGGGGGAUAGCCCUGGGAAACUGGGAUUAAUACCGCAUAUUAUUCUGAUUAAUAAAGGAUUGGAAUGAAAGCUGAGGCGGUCAGAGAUGGGUGUGCGUCUGAUUAGCUAGUUGGUAGGGUAACGGCCUACCAAGGCGAUGAUCAGUAGGGGGCGUGAGAGCGUGGUCCCCCACACGGGUACUGAGACACGGACCCGACUCCUACGGGAGGCAGCAGUAAGGAAUAUUGGUCAAUGGGCGAAAGCCUGAACCAGCCAUCCAGCGUGCAGGAAGAAGGCCCUAUGGGUUGUAAACUGCUUUUAUCAGGGAAGAAACCUCUGGAUUUACUCCGGAGCUGACGGUACCUGAAGAAUAAGCACCGGCUAACUCCGUGCCAGCAGCCGCGGUAAAGU
rnacentral:rRNA from 1 species